GAUAUUUGUUGCUUGGCACUCCGACCCGCGGCGAGCCGGAGGCGAUGAUGCUAUUGAUGUUGCAACCGUAGUCACCUUGGACUGGAACCGGCAGGUGUCAGAGUUGCAACCAUGGUGACCAUGGCGAGCGCUACUCUGUUUUUCUACUGCAUUUUUGGUGAUGAUGAUUUUGCUACAACCGUAAUCUCUUUUUGUUACAACCGGCGAGUUGAUUUGCUACAUCCAAUCACGACGG
rnacentral:rRNA from 1 species